CGUGUCUCUGCAGUCAGAGGUUUUUGUACGACGACUCAACCAGUUUGUAUCACUGUGGAGGACGUUUGGUGGAGGAACCAGUCUGGAGUUUGGAAGUGAUGCCCGUCCCACCCUGAAUGUGCUGGCCCCCUCCAGUGAGGAGCUGCAGCAGGGGAAGGCCACGCUCAUGUGCCUGGCCAACAAGGGCUUCCCCUCAGACUGGAGUCUGGCCUGGAAGGUGGACGGCAGCAGCAGCACCAGCAUUAGUGGCAGCAGCAGCUGGGAGGAGAGCAGGAGCCCCGGGGUGCUGGAGAAGGAUGGGCGCUACAGCUGGAGCAGCACCCUGAGGCUCCCUGCAGACCAGUGGAGGAAGGUGGGCUCUGUGACCUGUGAGGCCACCCAGGGCUCCCAGACUCCGGUCUCAGAGACUCUGAGGAUGGAACAGUGUUCCCAGUCCUGA